GCCCAGAGAAUGCACUGGAAGGGAGCGCCUUGAAACAUCUCUCACAAGCCAGCAAAGAACUAUCUGGUUGGCCUGCGUGUACGGCUCAUGAGGUAUCUUCCAGGCCACCCCUGCAUCCUGGACCAGAUGCUGAGCAUCACUGCCUUCCAGACUCACCCAGAAAAACAGACUUAGGAAUCCCUGAACCCUUGGAUUCACGGAGGAGGAAAGGCUGCUGGUGGAUGGGUCCAAAAAAGGCAUGAGUAGGCGCAGAGACACCGAAGUCCCCUCAUCGCAGUGGUGACAGACAUCUUCCAAGUUGGGGAGAAAUCAGCCUGCAGAACCAGGCUCUGAUGCAGGGAGACACGGGGGGAGAUCUCUGAAGAAAGGACU
rnacentral:lncRNA from 9 species